rfam:Gossypium raimondii Chr04_contig_787, whole genome shotgun sequence.
AUCCCAUGAUGAGGACACUUACGAAGUAGUUCCUUGAAUUGUUCCUAAGCCUCAUAGAAAGACUCAUCAUCCAAUUGUUGGAAAGUAGUUAUCUCGCUACACAAUUU